rnacentral:tRNA from 1 species
GGCUCGUUCGUCUAGGGGUUAGGACGCCGCCCUCUCAAGGCGGUAACACGGGUUCGAUUCCCGUACGAGCUA